rnacentral:rRNA from 1 species
GACGAACGCUGGCGGCGUGCUUAAUACAUGCAAGUCGAGCGAGGCCCAUCCAGUGGCAACACUGGGGAAGGCCGAGCGGCGAACGGGUGAGUAACACGUGAGCAACCUGCCCCGAAGUCUGGAAUAACAUCGGGAAACCGGUGCUAAUACCGGAUUGCCCCACCUGACCGCAUGAUCGGGUGAGGAAAGAUCUAUCGCUUCGGGAGGGGCUCGCGGCCUAUCAGCUAGUGGCGGGGUAACGACCCACCAAGGCGUCGACGGGUAGCUGGCCUGAGAGGACGACCAGCCACACUGGGACUGAGACACGGCCCAGACUCCUACGGGAGGCAGCAGUAGGGAAUCUUGCGCAAUGGGCGAAAGCCUGACGCAGCAACGCCGCGUGGGGGAUGACGGCCU